UAGUAACGGCGAGUGAAGCGGGAACAGCUCAAAUUUGAAAUCUGGCCUUCGGGUCCGAAUUGUAAUUUGCAGAGGAUGCUUUUGGUUAGGUACUUUCCGAGUUCCCUGGAACGGGACGCCUUAGAGGGUGAGAGCCCCGUACGGUUGGAUACCGAGCCUUUGUAAAGCUCCUUCGACGAGUCGAGUAGUUUGGGAAUGCUGCUCUAAAUGGGAGGUAAAUUUCUUCUAAAGCUAAAUACCGGCCAGAGACCGAUAGCGCACAAGUAGAGUGAUCGAAAGAUGAAAAGCACUUUGAAAAGAGGGUUAAAUAGCACGUGAAAUUGUUGAAAGGGAAGCGUUUAUGACCAGACUUUUUCCAGGCGGAUCAUCCGGUGUUCUCACCGGUGCACUUCGUCUGGUUGAGGCCAGCAUCGGUUUUCGUAGAGGGAUAAAAGCAGUAGGAAUGUGAUUCCCCCGGGAAUGUUAUAGCCUAUUGUAUAAUACCUUUAUGGGGACCGAGGUUCGCGCUCUGCAAGGAUGCUGGCGUAAUGGUCAUCAACGACCCGUCUUGAAACACGGACCAAGGAGUCGAACAUUUGUGCAAGUGUUUGGGUGUUAAACCCUCACGCGUAAUGAAAGUGAACGGAGGUGAGAGCCCUUACGGGUGCAUCAUCGACCGAUCCUGAUGUUUUCGGAUGGAUUUGAGUAAGAGCAUAACUGUUCGGACCCGAAAGAUGGUGAACUAUGCGUGGAUAGGGUGAAGCCAGAGGAAACUCUGGUGGAGGCUCGCAGCGGUUCUGACGUGCAAAUCGAUCGUCAAAUCUGCGCAUGGGGGGCGAAAGACUAAUCGAACCAUCUAGUAGCUGGUUACCG
rnacentral:rRNA from 1 species